AGAGGCUUGUAUGAAUGGUUGAAUGAGAUAAAAAUUGUCUUAAUAUAAAAUAAAAUUGAAUUUUAAAUUUUAAUAAAAAUGUUAAAAUAUAAAUAAAAGACGAGAAGACCCUAUAAAUCUUUAUUUUUUAACUAAUUAUAUUUUUGCAUAAAUCAUUAAAUUUAAUUAAUUAAAAAAUUUUAUUGGGGUGAUAAUGAAAUUUAAUUAACUUUCAUAAAAUAAAUGAUAUAUAUAUAAAUAAAUAAUUGAUCCAUUAUUAAUGAUUAAUAAAAUAA
rnacentral:rRNA from 1 species